rnacentral:rRNA from 1 species
GACGAACGCUGGCGGCGUGCUUAACACAUGCAAGUCGAACGGAAAGGCCCUGCUUUUGUGGGGUGCUCGAGUGGCGAACGGGUGAGUAACACGUGAGUAACCUGCCCUUGACUUUGGGAUAACUUCAGGAAACUGGGGCUAAUACCGGAUAGGAGCUCCUGCUGCAUGGUGGGGGUUGGAAAGUUUCGGCGGUUGGGGAUGGACUCGCGGCUUAUCAGCUUGUUGGUGGGGUAGUGGCUUACCAAGGCUUUGACGGGUAGCCCUGAGAGGGUGACCGGCCACAUUGGGACUGAGAUACGGCCCAGACUCCUACGGGAGGCAGCAGUGGGGAAUAUUGCACAAUGGGCGGAAGCCUGAUGCAGCAACGCCGCGUGCGGGAUGACGGCCUUCGGGUUGUAAACCGCUUUCGCCUGUGACGAAGCGUGAGUGACGGUAAUGGGUAAAGAAGCACCGGCUAACUACGUG